CUGGACGCAACUCGGGCCAACACGCACAGGCAAAGCUAAAUUUGACUCGACCGAAUACAUAAAAAAUGCAGAAGUGGGGUUGAGUCAGAAUUCUACUCCUGCUCUGAAGAUCAGAUCGUCGCUAGCGGGUUGCCGUUGAGCUCACUAACCGCCUGGAUGCUGCGAUUCUACGGCUGAGGUCCGUGUAAACGUGCACCCCACAUGCCUGCGUGUGCUCACGCAGAUCAGGUCAGGUCCAGUCUUCCCGUUGCUUCCUGCCGUCACGCGGCAGCACAUGUGAGCUCAUGUUUCCCGAGUAACGACACGGACGACGUACUUUUUGGAAUUCCUACCUGCGAAUAAACAGCAUAAUGUAAUCCUGGACUACCUCUCUGAAAUGCCGCCCAUCCGUGUGACACCGCGUCAAUGAUUCCUAUGGCGUAGGACUGACCUUUUGACCUUUUAGCAUUAACGAGACCGUUCCUAAGACUGAGGGUGACCCCUGUCCUUCACAUCGCCUGACCUCUGGACUCACUGCCGGCGCUGGUGGUGACCGGGGUCAUUGGACGGCGACCAGAGGAGCUCUUAAUUCUGCAACGUAAUGCCAAAGAUUUCAGAAAAGAUGAAUCCCAACGUUUGCUGGCAGGAUACAGCAGCGCUCUCACGCGGUCCAUAGUGUUGGACUGUCCCUCAUUCCUGUUCUUGGGUCCUGCUCAAAGAGUACAGGACUCACAAUGGAGGAUAAGCAUCACUCUCCAGAAUGUCUUUCCACAAAUGAGUCCUUGUUGGCGGCUCUCUGGUCUUCGGCGGCAUCAGUCGUCGUCACAAAGAGCCUUUUGCUGGAUCCAAACUCCCUUUUCCUUUUCCUUUGAGCUUUUGUUUCCCCUCUGCUUCCUUAUCUCUGCAGUUGUCUCCCCCCUGUUUUCAGGGAUCACUGAUGCAAUCGCAUCCACUUAGGUGUCAUUAUUUUUGUUAACUCUCUUAUUCCCCGUGUGAUUAUCAGCGGCGGUUUAAUGAGGUGUUUGUUUGUUUGUUUGUAUGUGUUAGUGUGUGUAUGGGAGUCUCUGUGUGUUAAGAGGGGACUGCAGCUGCAGCUCCGAAAAAUCAAGUCCUUUCUUGAUCAAUGAGGGAUGGAUGCAG
ensembl:lncRNA